UACGUAGGGGGCAAGCGUUAUCCGGAUUUACUGGGUGUAAAGGGAGCGCAGGCGGCCGCGCAAGUCAGAAGUGAAACCCCCCGGCUCAACCGGGGGCAUGCUUUUGAAACUGCGUGGCUGGAGUGCUGGAGGGGUAAGCGGAAUUCCUGGUGUAGCGGUGAAAUGCGUAGAUAUCAGGAAGAACACCGGUGGCGAAGGCGGCUUACUGGACAGCAACUGACGCUGAGGCUCGAAGGCGUGGGGAGCAAAC
rnacentral:rRNA from 1 species